UCUCCGUAGGUGAACCUGCGGAGGGAUCAUUACUGAGUGAGGGUCUCCGGGCCCGACCUCCAACCCUUUGUGAAUCGUACUCGUUGCUUCGGGGGCGACCCUGCCUUUCGGCGCGGCGCCCCCGGAGGCUCAUCAAACACUGCAUCUUUGCGUCGGAGUUUAAACAAAUUAAACAAAACUUUCAACAACGGAUCUCUUGGUUCGGGCAUCGAUGAAGAACGCAGC
rnacentral:misc_RNA from 1 species